rnacentral:rRNA from 1 species
UGGCGGACGGGUGAGUAAUGUCUGGGAAACUGCCUGAUGGAGGGGGAUAACUACUGGAAACGGUAGCUAAUACCGCAUAACGUCGCAAGACCAAAGAGGGGGCCUUGGGCCUCUUGCCAUCGGAUGUGCCCAGAUGGGAUUAGCUAGUAGGUGGGGUAACGGCUCACCUAGGCGACGAUCCCUAGCUGGUCUGAGAGGAUGACCAGCCACACUGGAACUGAGACACGGUCCAG